rnacentral:misc_RNA from 1 species
UGAAGUGCGAUAAGUGUCAUGACUUGCAGAUUCCCGAGAGCUGACAAAUCUCUGAAUGCAUAUUGCGGCCGCUCGACCCGGCCAUGUACUGCAGAGUGUAGUUGUUCAUACUCAUCAUCCUCACCACAACACUGUGCGUGACUGGCAUCUGCGCUUGCUGACCAAAGCGAGCGUUAAGAAUGGUGCUGUGCUCGUACCACCCACCGGGCUGGUCGGGCACACGUGCUGCGGAUAAAAUCCUCUGAUACAGCGCAACAGCGUAAUACAUAUCCCCACACCUCUGCAGUGCAGGAAAACCCGCUGAACUUAA